CUGGAGGACCAAAGCUUUCUCAUACCUGGUGUAAACAGGCAUGUAAGCAACCCUGCACUUCAAGCAAGGGUGGGGAAACCUGUGAUUGUUUCUGGAUGGUGCUGGCCUUCAACUCUUAUAAUCAUGCUGGAUGGGGAAUUGGAGUUCAAUAAUAUCAGGAAGGCUUAAAGGUACAGCUAUAUAGUUAAUGUAAUGUGCUGUUUGCCCCCUCCCCCAAAACGCUAAGACUGGCCUUGCUGAUAAGGGAUAACCAGCCUCAUAACCAACAUGCUUAAAUCUAGUUAAUGCAUGAAGGGGUUAACACCAUAGAGUAAGCUGUCCUGCCAGGCUUAGAGAGAAUACUUCCCUUUACCUCAAAGGAAAUGAGUAAUCAAGCCUAUUGGUCAACCCCCAGUCCGGUUGAGAAGCUCAGUGUGUAAAGAGGUUUGAGCUGGUUGCUCCAGCUCAGACCACAUGGCUCUCACAAGCCACUCUUGAGUUUCUAUACCAAUAUUUCACCAUUUUGUAACUAAGCCAAGCAACCUUUUCUGAAGCACAUGAACCUGACCUUUGGAGAGUUUGUAAGUAAAUCAUUUUUUUAACUUACCAAAGUGUGGGCUUUUUCCUAUGCUGGGGAAAGAAGGAAACUUUGCAACUCACAAGGUCUAGCAGCCUCUAUUUCCACUCUUUACAUUGCUGCAUCUUUUGUGAUUUUAAAUCUCUGCUGGGGUUCUCUCACCAAAGAGUACUUGCCCCAAACUUGGAUCUUGGCAUCCAGGACUCCUUUUUAAACCUAUUUUUUCUUUGAACCAACGGCUAGAUCAAAGGUGCCAGGAGUCCAGCGACAAAUCCCCAACUGCAAACAAGUAGACGCUUUGGUACACACAAGUUGGCCAAGAAGUUGUUCUCCUGACCACAACACUGGACAGUGAAAGGCUUAAAAAAAUCGAUUUAUUUUGGUCACUGACCAGAGUGCAGGCUUGACAUCCCUGCACCCUUCUGUUUUGCCCUCAAGGAGAAGGUCAGAGACAUUCCUAUAUAGCUAAUUGUCCAGUUCCUUUGUAAAGCCAUCAUCACCUUUCAUGGGUUCCACAAAAUCUUUUAUGAAGUACUCUUAUGUGUUCUGAAACUAACAUGGUUUUGGAAAUAGUUUUUUCUGUGAUGGUCCACAUAAACUCUGCCUGUCCUCUUCCACCAACAGAAACCCAGGAUUUCUGUUAUGUAAGUCCUAGCAGACAGCCAACUGCAUGUUUCUUUUAAGAGCUGAGUCUCAUUUCUGUAUGCCCUUCAGUCUUAACGCUUAAUAAACAUCCUUUAAGUGAA